rnacentral:tRNA from 1 species
GCGCCCGUAGCUCAGUUGGAUAGAGCAACGCCCUUCUAAGCCGUGGGUCGCAGGUUCGAAUCCUGCCGGGCGCGCCA